UACGUAGGUGGCGAGCGUUGUCCGGAUUUACUGGGCGUAAAGGGCGCGUAGGCGGCAAUUCAAGUCAUCUGUGAAAUCUCCGGGCUUAACCCGGAACGGUCAGGUGAUACUGUUUUGCUAGAGUGCGGAAGGGGCAAUCGGAAUUCUCGGUGUAGCGGUGAAAUGCGUAGAUAUCGAGAGGAACACCAGAGGUGAAGACGGGUUGCUGGGCCGACACUGACGCUGACAGCGCGAAAGCCAGGGGAGCAAACGGG
rnacentral:rRNA from 1 species